GGUCUAUUCCAGAGAAGAAAUUCAAAGCUGGGUCUCCCACAUCUCUGGUGAAUACUCUAACCAGCAGGCUAAAGCUCAUGAAGAUGCAUGCCAGUUACACUCAGUGAACAAGAACUACACAGAAUUUGUUAAAAGUGUGAAAACCUGUGUAAAUGAGCAGAGAAUGUGACCCAGAAUAACCAUCACAUCAAAAUGGGAAGCAUCAGUCACACUUCUGAAAAUCAUGUGGCUUUCCUACAUUGAUGGAAGAAUCACUCCUGUUGGCAUAGAGAGCGUCUAUAUUGAAGCACUGCAGAAGCACAACUCCAACCCUUAGGCCCUAA